UACGGAGGGUGCGAGCGUUGUCCGGAAUCACUGGGCGUAAAGGGCGCGUAGGUGGCCUGUGGAAGUCUGCGGUGAAAGCCCGGCGCUCAACGCCGGGUCGGCCGUGGAUACUCUCGGGCUCGAGCUUACUAGAGGCAGAUGGAAUUCCGGGUGUAGCGGUGGAAUGCGUAGAGAUCCGGAAGAACACCGGUGGCGAAGGCGGUCUGCUGGGGUAAUGCUGACACCGAUGCGCGACAGCGUGGGGAGCAAACAGG
rnacentral:rRNA from 1 species